rnacentral:lncRNA from 1 species
UUAAUUCCCCUUUCAGCAUCUCCAUAUUUCCCAUUCUUGUUGAUCUCCAAGCUGCUCAGAUUUUGUAAGCUGCAUAAGUUGACAAGUUUCUCCACUGCCCCUUGUUUUUCUUCCUCGAAGGAAAAAUGUGUUAGGAUCGUCUCGAUUAAGCAACGAAUAAGUAAAAAUAGUAGAAGAAAUUGAGAAGAUGAACACACAAAUUUAACGUGGAAAAACCCCUCAAAAGAGGAUAAAAAACCACGGGCAAAGAUAAUUUUACUAUAAUGGCAAAAGAAUGAAGAGUACAAAAGAUGGAGAUAAAAACUAAACCCCGAAAACCCGAAAAACAAAGAACCCUUAAACGUAAACACAAAAUUCUCUGAAUGUGUUAUGAGUUCUAAUCUAAUGGGUGUCUCUUAAUUCUAAGAUUGUAAAGGAGCCUAUUUAUAGGCUAAAUUAGUAAGUCAAAUAAACUAUACUAAUAAAUGCUAAAUAUAUUAUACUAAUAAAUACUAAAUCUUCUAGAAAGAAAAUAUAUUUUUGUUUAACUUGACUUGCAAGCAAUCUCUUAAAAUUUGGGUCACACAAUUCUAACAAUCUCCACCUUGACACAAAUUCUUUCAAAUGCCAUCUUUGCCAAAACCCGCCACGGGCCUAUCUUGAACUAUGCAAGGAAUUAACUGAGUCGAAUCUAUGCUUAGAAGUUGGAAGACUUCUAGCCUUCGACUUGUGCACUGCCAAAUCAAAACUAACCCGGGUCUGAUUUUCACGAAUACAGUGCCCUAACUUUUCAAAACCUGCAUCCAAAAGAGAACCUCUCUUCAACGAAACGGUCAUACCUUUUUCCCUCCUAUGACCAAGUUGCCUCCGCUUCAAAUGAGUUGACUUUGACUCCGUAAUGGACGAGGGACGUCUGAUUUCACCGGUCACUGUAGAACCUUCCAGAAUAUAAAGAUUGCCGGUUCUUUUACCUUUUAACAAAACGAGAGCUCCACGAGAUACUUUAAUGUCGCUCGACUCGAUGUUGAUUCUGCAUCCUUUCAAGUUUAAAAUACUCAAGGAGAUGAGAUUCUUUCGUAAAUCAGGUACAUACCUGACAUCUGAGAGUGUCCUAAUCGUCCCAUCGUGUAUCCUAAUUUUAACAGUACCAAUACCGAUUAUUUUACUAGAUGAAUCGUUUCCCAUGUGCACAACUCCACCUUCAACUGAACUGUAUGUGGAGAACCAUUCUCUAUUGGGACACAUGUGGAAAGAACAUCCUAAAUCUAGGAUCCACUCAGACGUAAGCUUGGAGUUAUCGCUCGUUGACACUAACAAGAAAUCAUCACCGCCUUCAUCGACCAAAUUAGCACCAGCUACAUCUUCCUCGUUACUCUCAGCAGCUCUUUUAUUUCGCAGUUUAUAACAAUCUGCUUUGACGUGACCUAACUUUUUGCAAUAGCGACACCUUUUGUCUCGUUUCUUUGAUGCUACCAAAACGGAAGCUUGCCUAUCUGCUUUGCUAUUCAAACCAAACUCAUUGUCGAGUUUGUCUCUACUCAACAAAUGACCCUUCACAUCUUCGAACAAGAGUUUGUCUCUGCCAUAAAUCAGGGUUUCCCUGAAAGACUUGUAUGAAAAGGGUAAAGAGCAUAAUAACAGCAUAGCUUGAUCUUCAUCGUCAAUAUGAACCUCAACGUUCUUUAAAUCAUUUAAAAGAGUGAUGAAUUGACUGAUGUGAUCUUUAAGAAGUUCACCUUCGUUCAUGCGAAACGUAAAUAGACGUUGUUUCAACACUAAACGGUUAGCCAGAGACUUAGUCGCAUAAAGAGUUUCUAACCUUUUCCACAAGGCGAAUGAGGUCUUCUCCAUCAAUACCUCCUGCAAUACUGUAUUCGCGAGGUACAACUGGAUUGCAGACAAGGCCUUUUCAUCAAGCUCUUCCCAUUCUGUUUGAUUUAGAUUCUCAGGCUUUUUCCCUGUAACAACCUUUUUCAAGCCAUUUUGAACUAGAAUUGCCAUCAUCCGAACUUGCCACAGAUUGAAUUUGUCUCACCAUCGAACUUCUCAAUUUCAAACCUUGUUGCUGCCAUCUCUGAACGGGCUGAUCUAUGAAAGUUAAACUAGCUCUGAUACCACUUGUUAGGAUCGUCCCGAUUAAGCAACGAACAAGUAAAAAUAGUAGAAGAAAUUGAGAAGAUGAACACACAAAUUUAACGUGGAAAAACCCCUCAAAAGAGGAUAAAAAACCACGGGCAAAGAUAAUUUUACUAUAAUGGAAAAAGAAUGAAGAGUACAAAAGAUGGAGAUAAAAACUAAACCCCGAAAACCCGAAAAACAAAGAACCCUCAAACGUAAACACAAAAUUCUCUGAAUGUGUUAUGAGUUCUAAUCUAAUGGGUGUCUCUUAAUUCUAAGAUUGUAAAGGAGCCUAUUUAUAGGCUAAAUUAGUAAGUCAAAUAAACUAUACUAAUAAAUGCUAAAUAUAUUAUACUAAUAAAUACUAAAUCUUCUAGAAAGAAAAUAUAUUUUUGUUUAACUUGACUUGCAAGCAAUCUCUUAGAAUUUGGGUCACACAAUUCUAACAAAAGGGUACCCCAAGCACUCAGCCAACCUUUUCACCUCAGAAAUGGUGUCUGUCAAUAGAUUUUCAUAUCUCAUAAAAUGGACCUUUUCUGGGUUUUCUUGGCUUGCUUUCCAGUACCC